ACAGGCCAUGCAUUUACCUCUCUGAAUUCCUGAGGAUAAUUCACCAGAGAGCUCACAGAUGUGCAUUUGCUUUUCCACGCACCUCAUUCAUCUUCUUCCUGGAAGGUGAAAUGGACCCUUGCUGCAGCAUCCUCUCCGGAGAAGAGGGAGAGCCUUUGGUGGAGACUUGGGACUUAAGAGCAUGCUACAUUGAAGUACUAGAGAAAACAGCUGUUCUGAUGAAACAGGCAUGGCUUUCCCUGGACCACAAGGACAGGAGGUUGAGAGCGACAGCAGCUGCGCAUCACUAUGUCGACAUUGCUAAGUUCAGCAGUCUCAGUGUUGACACAAGACACACCGGUUGGAUUUGUCACAGGGCUGUUGUGCAGUUUCCAAGUGGCAGGCAGCUGUUACAGUUUACAGAAAUACUCGGCUUUCCCUGGGGGAUUCCCAAAUGCAUAUGGCCCUGCCCACUC